AAACGUUCCAGAACGCCCGCCCCCGCGGCCGCCGAGCGCUCGCCUGCCCGCCCGCCGGUCUCCAAGCGCCUCCCGGGCCCGUCGCCACCGUGGGUGCAACGGGGCCUGGGCCUCGCGGGGCCCGGCGGGGCGCCGGCGGCGGCUCCAGGGGGCGUGUGCGGGCCGCGGCCGCCGCUCACCUUCCUCUUGGGCAUCGUGGCGGCGGGGAAGGCGCGUGCCGGGUGCCUGCGGGGAAGGCGCGUGCCGGGUGCCUGCGGGCCGCGGCGCGCCGACAGCCUUCGCGAAACUGGGCUGCCUUGCCGCUGCCACUCCUCCCGCCGCCCGAGCUGCUGAGACCCACAGCGGGGGCGGUGGGAGAACCGGAUGGAACCGGAUUGGGAGCCCGCCUCCUCCUCCCCCCGCGUCCCCGGCCGCGGGCUCCCCCUCCCCGCCGGCCGGGCCGCCCCCCACCCCCGCCCAUUGGCUACGGGACUCAGCCCGCGCCCGGAAUAGGUGAGGCGGGCCCUUAAUUGAUCCCGGACCCCGCCCCCUUCCGGGGGCCCCCCCCCCCCCCCCGGGCGCCCCCACCCCUUUCCGCCGUCUCGCGGGGCCCCAGACCCAGGCGAAGGGGGCGGGGUCCCAGUGGCGCUCCGGCCUCACGGUAGUUUGA
rnacentral:lncRNA from 10 species